rnacentral:rRNA from 1 species
GAUGAACGCUGGCGGCGUGCCUAAUACAUGCAAGUCGAGCGAACGGACGAGAAGCUUGCUUCUCUGAUGUUAGCGGCGGACGGGUGAGUAACACGUGGAUAACCUACCUAUAAGACUGGGAUAACUUCGGGAAACCGGAUCCAACAUCGGAUAAUAUUUUGAACCGCAGGGUUCAUAAGGGAAAGACGGUCUUGCUGUCACUAAUAGAUGUAUCCGCGCUGCUUUAGCUAGUUGGUAAGGUAGCGGCUUACCAAGGCAACGAUGCAUAGCCGACCUGAGAGGGUGAUCGGCCACACUGGAACUGAGACACGGUCCAGACUCCUACGGGAGGCAGCAGUAGGGAAUCUUCCGCAAUGGGCGAAAGCCUGACGGAGCAACGCCGCGUGAGUGAUGAAGGUCUUCGGAUCGUAAAACUCUGUUAUUAGGGAAGAACAUAUGUGUAAGUAACUGUGCACAUCUUGACGGUACCUAAUCAGAAAGCCACGGCUAACUACGUG